CCGUGGGCCGGGCUGGCUGGUGAGAGGCAGCGGCCCUCCGUUGGCAUGUAUCAGCUUUUGAGUUAAGGAAUCCAAGAAGUGUCAAAGAAAUGAGCCAAUACACAGCUUUGGAGGUGGCCAAGUAGAAUGAGUUGCCUGGCAGGUAACCCGAGAUGAGUGGUACAGGCUUUCUACCCCUGCUCUGCCGCAGGCUUUCAUGUGAUUUGGGAUGCAUCAGUUCUUUGCCGCUAUGGAAAAGGAACAGUGGCAUUUUCACAGCUCACAAGAUCCUGCAAUGCCUAAGUUGUAAUACACUUGUAUUGUAGUAAGAUGGCCUUACGUAUGUAAUUAAAAUGGCCUGGUUCCUAUCAUCUCUCCCUACAGAAUUAGAUGUAAAAUUAACUGACAUAGUAAUAGGACUUAGAGGGAUGUUAGGCACUGUAUGUACUACGUGAAGGAUAUAAAAGGAGAAACAAAGUGUGCCAAGGCUACAAAUGCCUGUGGUACAUGCACAGCAAAUGAGAAGGAAAAACAGUGUGAACUAUUAGAAAGGCAAAAGGAGAACUGAGAGGACAAGGUCGUGAAAGCCCAAAGGACCAGAUCUCAAGGUGAAAGUGAUCAGCAAGUUUCAAAGCUGAUAAAAAGAGCUGAAUUAACUGGAAAAGCUGGGAAAGGAAGGAGAAAGGGUGGCAGAUUGAUAAUUUAUUUGUUUAUCGCCCUUAAAUGAAGGAAGAUAUAUUGUUAGAGGCAGAAGGAAGCGGGUUAAAAACCGAGUUUAAGACGCAGGCACAGCAUAAAGCAGACAGAUUAUUAACCUAGGUUUAAUGAGAGCCGCUCUUUAACUACAGGAAUAUGAGCUGUGUCAGAAAUACUAGGCUAGACAUUCCUCCUGCUUGCUUUAAAAAUGAGAGUAAUUCAGUUGAAUUCCUUGGACAGGGAGCACUGUUAAACCAGGCUAAGUGAGAAGAGAGUCAAGCGUGUUCUUUUCAAAUCCUUGAGAAAUGCAGUAGAACAAUGAUGUUGUUCUGACAGAGAGGAACUGAAGAGUUAAAGACCUUUUGCCUUCGUUGCUUACUCCUUCAAGCAAACAUACUGGAAAUGACAGUCACGGACUGAAAACUCAAUAGUCUGAGUUUUAGGGGAUGCAGUUAAAGGUCUUGGUCUUAAUUUUUACAUUCACUAACGUGCAGAAAUACUUCAAGUUGUCUCAACAAACUGUUCCCCAGUGUGAUGAACAGAAAUACUAAGGUUACUCUUUGCUGCUCCUUGACCUGACGUUUCCAAGGUAUCUUAUUUCUUGUAUGUGUCAGUGGAUAUUGGAAAAGAACUUGAGUGAUGACUGGGUAGCAAUGAGGUAUAUUGGUCUGCAGAGAAUGCAAAUAAAAAAUCCAUAAAGUAA